GACGAACGCUGGCGGCGUGCCUAACACAUGCAAGUCGAACGGGGUAAUUUCUUUCGGGAGAUUACUUAGUGGCGAACGGGUGAGUAACGCGUGAGGAACCUGCCUUUCAGUGGGGGACAUCAGUUGGAAACGACUGCUAAUACCGCAUAACAUGUAUUUAAGGCAUCUUAGAUACAUCAAAGAUUUUAUCGCUGAAAGAUGGGCUCGCGUCUGAUUAGAUAGUUGGUGAGGUAACGGCUCACCAAGUCGACGAUCAGUAGCCGGACUGAGAGGUUGAACGGCCACAUUGGGACUGAGACACGGCCCAG
rnacentral:rRNA from 1 species